GAGGUCAAGACCAGCCACUCAAAGUAUGACUGGUCAUUAUGGUUGCCCCGAAAACAGUUCCAGUGAACGAGUCCUCCCCAGAUCUGCUCUACUCAUAAAUCUACCUCUUGGUUAGUAACAUUAGCUGUAACAUCAGCCUCCUGGCUAUCGCUCACCUCUUUGGUCUUUCUGGGGGCAGCUUUUUGAGCUGACUGUCAUUCAUUGCAUUAUUAUUUGAGUUUAAAGCCCUUUCCAACACACACCUAUUUUCUUCUCACUUCUUUUCCUGGGUCCCGAUUUAUAUGCAGGUCCAGGUCCUGGCAUACGGUUAUAAUAGUUUGUAAAUGUGUAGAAAUUAUGUGUGGUUUGUUACGCCCCACCCUUGGGGAACCCUAUGGGGUGAACAAAACUCCAACACUGACACAAAAUAACCACAUAAGACAUCUUUAAAACAUUCAAAUCCAUGGGAUUUAUUAACAAAUAAACAAACAAACAAGACAACAAAAAUCCCAUGCUGACAGGCAGCAGGACCAGCAGUCCCCACACCAGAGGCCUCUCCUUUGCUGCAGGCACAGGAGCUCUUCAGCACCUCCUCCAUGCCAGGUGCAAUGCACCUCGUUAACUAAUGCAGCACACCUGGGCAGAUCUACAAUGGAUGGAAAAGGGACAGCAGUACAGAACGCAUACACAGCCUAAAUAAAAUCCUUACCCUUGAUACAACUUGUAAAGUGUGGAUGACCCGACAUGACUUCAGCCAAAUGACCUGACGUGACCCGGACCAAUUGUUCUCAGAACUGGUUGUCUGCAUAACAGGAAGCAACAACAUUAAAAGACCCUGAAAUAUGCGACUCUAUGUCUGAGCCUCGCACGUUUUAAGUCUUGUUUAUGCAACAACAUAAUUGGAACUGUCGACAGGAUGGCCCUGGAAAUGACAUCCAGUUUGCUGUGUCUCUUCACUCUGAGCGAGGAGCACACUGUGGCCACAUAAAAAGCAGGACCAGCAGAGUGCUGGUGAUCCGGCACUGAAGUUGGCACCUAGGGAAGGUCAGCAACACGAGAGGAUGUCAGGCUCCAGUCAGGCUCAUUUAACAACAUGCUGUUAUAAUCUCACAAGAGACAUCAGAUGCAGUGCAGAGGACUACUUUGUCAACUUUGAUGGGAACUGAACAGGAAAGUUACUGUGAUGUAAAUGAGCCCAAUAAGCAAGAGAGCUGUACAGUACUGUGUCUGACAAUGUUCAGUAUUCACAAUGUAGUCUGACGUGUGUUUUAAAUUCUCUAUAAGCUGUCUAAUUACAUCUGAAACAGUUUGUGACAUAAAUAUUUUUUCUAUCCAAAAUAUAAAAGUGAAAUGUCUGACAAGGUCGUCCCUGCAGUGUGGGCACUGUCUGCGGGCUGCAGGCCUCCUGGCUCUCUGUGACCUGCGUGCAGAAGGCUGCAAUACACAGUCAUGUUAGUAUGAGGCUUCACAAGUACAGUAAAUGCAACAAACAGUGUUAAAUCACAAGAGACUCGACUCCACCCUGUUGGAACCGCCCACCUCCUGAGGUGAUAGAAGCCCGCCUCAAACCUCAGCCCUUCCUUUUCUCUCCUUCCCUCCAAAACCACCAGACAAAGAAAGCUGCCUGAAGUACCCUCCUUUUCUAUAAUGGUAAAUUGUGGAUGCAUAAAUGUGAAGUAAGUUAAGUUCAUGGACCUUGAUUUAUUGUUAACAUCUGUGUGAAGGUGGAAAUUUAUGUUUUAUGACUUAUCCUCUAUGUUUAUUCUGUGCAGGAAAUCAUCCACCACCCUUUGUUCCACUCUGCUCAUCCUUGUAACCUCAAAUAAAUUGCCAAGAACAGAC